GCUCCGAGAAGCUGAGCCCUCACCCCGACAUUCGCAAUUUGUGGACCAUGGCCUCGCUGUCCGAGUCACAAAUGAACGUGCCGCUGUCCCAGGUCUGCAACAAAUACUACGAGGAGGUCACAGUCCCGGGCGACAAAACUCGCCGGCGGGCCAGCUUGAAGGGCCGCUGGAAGGACGAUGGGGAGUCCCUUUCUCUGAGGGACAAGGUCAGCUUCAAGACAGAGAAUACGGAAUUGAGCUCCGGCAGCUCCCAGCAAAACCGUGUGGAUGAGAAUACCAAUUCCGAGUUAGCUUCCGCUGCCCCUGAUGGAACUCAUGGAGAAUGAAGCUCUGGAAAUCCUCACCAAAGCCCUCAAGAGCUACCGGUCCGUGAUCGGCAGGGACCAUUUCAUGACUAAAGAGCUGCAGCGAUACGUCGAGGGGCUCAGGAGGCGCAGGAAUAAGAGGCUGUACUGCACUUUUCAGUGAACUCCCGACUCCAGCAGCCGCCUGACUCUAACCCUUGCCCUGCCCUGUCCUGUCCCCAGACCCAAGUGGAAUUUUAGCCCUAGAGAAAUUAAAAGAGUCUAUACGUGCUUUGUGAGUCAGUGCGUGGCUUCCCGCGUGAGGCGGACGCACGUGGCCCCGCCCUUCCCCGUGACCUUCAUUCGGUCACCGCAGUGACCUUGAGUUUUCUCUGUCCGGGUCUUAACGGCCCUGCCUUCCAGGGAUUCGUAGUCCA
rnacentral:lncRNA from 1 species